ACGGGGGGUGCAAGCGUUGUUCGGAAUUAUUGGGCGUAAAGCGCGUGUAGGCGGUUUGUUAAGUCUGUUGUGAAAGCCCUGGGCUCAACCCAGGAAGUGCACUGGAAACUGGCAGACUUGAAUACGGGAGAGGGUAGUGGAAUUCCUGGUGUAGGAGUGAAAUCCGUAGAUAUCAGGAGGAACACCGGUGGCGAAGGCGGCUACCUGGACCGAUAUUGACGCUGAGACGCGAAAGCGUGGGUAGCAAACAGGAUUAGAUACCCUGGUAGUCCACGCCGUAAACGAUGAGUACUAGGUGUUGCGGGUAUUGACCCCUGCAGUGCCGCAGCUAACGCAUUAAGUACUCCGCCUGGGAAGUACGGUCGCAAGACUA
rnacentral:rRNA from 1 species